CUCAUAUUGGUAUGGUAUUAUAUAAAAUCGCAGUUGACAAUUCUCCGCCGGGGAGGCGGUGAAAAGUUUUCAACGUUAUUUGGUCUAUCACGAGAAGAGCCGAAGUCUUACGAAAGAGCGGACAACCACGCUUUGUUCUUUGGUUUGAUUGAUGUCUGAUGUUCAGAGUGAAGUGAGGCAAAAGCUCUGGUUACAGUAAGAAUGUAAGAAACGUGAUUUGUCGAUCGCACCAGAAGAGACCAGAUUUGAUUUUUUCUAGAAGUUCAGUCAUUGGAGGACACAGACUGGAAGAAACAUUUUGUUCUUUAAUGUGCGUCGUAUUAUACUUCAGAUACGUUACGAGCCAUUUUUUGCCAUCAUGCAGAACAUUAUGUAUUUGCAAGUAACACCACAGCCUAACACCUCACACCACAUGAAAAGGCAAGGGAGUAACAAGAUACAAGAUGUCAGCACUUAAGUAACCUUGACUGCAGAUGGGAGCUGCAAAGUCAAAUAUUUGACUAAUCAUGCGGGUCAUCUGAAUGUUAUAAGUCAUUUGGUCAUAAAGACGGUGAUAUCAGUGUAGAGAAGCAGGUUGACGAGUGUAGAAAGGCAGGUUGACGAGAUCAACAUUAGAAAUAACACCGGUAUGCUGUUAUACAACCCCCAAAAUACAAGCAGUCAAAGGGAUUCAUUCCUGAGAAAAGGAGACUUCGUUUUCAUUGUUAUGAGUACUAAAGGCGAAACCCAGUAAAAAAAAAAAUAUGGUACGGGAGUGACUAUUUGCAUCGAUGGAACUUAAGGUCAUGAUUUUGAAAUUUGAUUAUUGCAUAUGACGACAUGACACUAGGUUUUUCUGGUGAUUCCUUUAUUACAAACAGAUCGCAUCAAGAGUCUAAUGGAUUAACACUAAAUAUUGAAAAAACAACAUAUUCAAUUUCAUGCAUCAACUUAUACUGACAGUCAAAAUAUAUUAAUGGUGUGACACUUCUGAGUUUCUGGGCAUUAUAAUUGAUCACAAGGUAAACUGGUGUGGGCAUAUUCUAGAUCAUAAAAGACUAAGUGUAGCAACUUAUGCCCUGCAUGUAAUUACCCCUGUUGGUGAUAUGAAUGCUAUCAAAGCAGCUUACUUUGGCUAUUUCACUCCAUCAUGUCAUAUGGUAUAAUUUUUUGGGAUAAUCAGUAUUUAGCCAAAAAGCCCUUUACAGCACAAAAGAGAGCAAUUAGAAUCAUGAGUGUUAUUCGACCAAGAUAUCGUUGCAGAAACCUGUUCCAUCAGCUCCAAAUAUUAACCACAACAUGUUGGUACUAAUUUUCUUUGAUGUUUUUUUUUUU